AAUUAUAGCAGCCGCAAACUUAUAGUUUUCGAGAUAUAUGCAUUUAAAGUUGAAAAUUUCACUUUGUAACGUGGCUUUUACCACCUUACAAUAAUUUACGUCAACUUCGCUCCACAGUACAUCAUGUACCUUCACCAUACCACCAUACGUACUAAACUUCACCGCAUUGACUACGCACCCAACUCACCUCACUACGAUGAUGAAAGCUGCUAGAGCUUUUCACCAUACGUACUAACGCACCAUACGCAUACAACUUACCUCGCUACGGUGACGAAAGCUGCGCUAUGCUGCUAUAAAAGCAAGCACUUUACACCAAAUGCGAUCAUUUGCUCCAGCUCGCCGAACCGGACGGUCGCUCAGCACCACGUAAGAAAGCAGCAGUAAGCAGGGGUAAGUGCAAGUAGAAGUAGAUAUUUCGCAGGCAUUGCGCAGAAAAGGCAUCACACUUCGGUGUGAUGCCAGUGCUCGCAGUGACCCUGCCAUAGAAGGGUAGUGCAUACCGUAGAGGGUUCUUCGCAGGCAUUGCGCAGAAAAGGCAUCACACUUCGGUGUGAUGCCAGUGCUCGCAAUAACUGCCAUAGAAGAGGGUUCUUCGCAGGCAUUGCGCAGAAAAGGCAUCACACUUCGGUGUGAUGCCAGUGCUCGCAAUGACUCUGCCGGAGAAGUGUAGUGCAUACCGUAGAGGGUUCUUCGCAGGCAUUGCGCAGAAAAGGCAUCACACUUCGGUGUGAUGCCAGUGCUCGCAAUAACUGCCAUAGAAGAGGGUUCUUCGCAGGCAUUGCGCAGAAAAGGCAUCACACUUCGGUGUGAUGCCAGUGCUCGCAAUGACUCUGCCGGAGAAGUGUAGUGCAUACCGUAGAGGGUUCUUCGCAGGCAUUGCGCAGAAAAGGCAUCACACUUCGGUGAGAUGCCAGUGCUCGCAAUGACUGCCAUAGAAUGGGGUACUUCGCAGGCAUUGCGCAGAAAAGGCAUCACGCUUUGGUGAUGCCAGUGCUCGCAAUGACUCUGCCGUAGCAUGGGAUACUUCGCAGGCAUUGCGCAGAAAAGGCAUCACGCUUUGGUGAUGCCAGUGCUCGCAAUGACUGCCGUAUACCAUAGAAUGAGGUACUUCGCAAGCAUUGCGCAGAAAAGGCAUCACGCUUUGGUGAUGCCAGUGCUCGCAAUGACUCUGCCGUUUUGUUAGGCAGGUAUCGGUACGCGCAAAGGCUCGACCGUUACUUUGAGGGGCACAGCUGCGCUGCUUCGAACAGCGUCAGUACCACUGCUUACGUACCGUAGGGCACCGUUACUAAAAACUAACGUGACCAACAGGCGACACGUAACUGGCGUACAGUAGAGAGUUGAUAGCUGGAGGUCAACGAAGACGGUUGGCGAAUAAUAAGAUCUCUCCUACACAGAGGAGCCCGUUUUCAUCACCGCCGUGCCGACUUCAUCAAACGUCAACGCCGGGCACGCUUAGUUUCACCCGUUUUCAUCACCGCCGUGCCGACUUCAUCAAACGUCAACGCCGGGCACGCUUAGUUUCACCCGUUUUCAUCACCGCCGUGCCGACUUCAUCAAACGUCAACGCCGGGCACGCUUAGUUUAACCCGUUUUCAUCACCGCCGUGCCGACUUCAUCAAACGUCAACGCCGGGCACGCUUAGUUUAACCCGUUUUCAUCACCGCCGUGCCGACUUCAUCAAACGUCAACGCCGGGCACGCUUAGUUUCACCCGUUUUCAUCACCGCCGUGCCGACUUCAUCACCACCGUGCCGACUUCAUCAAACGUCAACGCCGGGCACGCUUAGUUUCACCCGUUUUCAUCACCGCCGUGCCGACUUCAUCAAACGUCAACGCCGGGCACGCUUAGUUUCACCCGUUUUCAUCACCGCCGUGCCGACUUCAUCAAGCGUCAACGCCUGACUCAUCAAUCCCGUUUAUUUCCAUCGCGCUGGUCUGGCUGUCCGCAUAAGGAGUGGGGGUGUGGAUAUAACUUUACGAGGAUAAAA